rnacentral:rRNA from 1 species
GGCCAGACUCCUACGGGAGGCAGCAGUGAGGAAUAUUGGUCAAUGGGCGGGAGCCUGAACCAGCCAAGUCGCGUGAGGGAAGACGGUCCUACGGAUUGUAAACCUCUUUUGCCGGGGAGCAACGGGGUCCUUGCGAGGGCCCGAUGAGAGUACCCGGAGAAAAAGCAUCGGCUAACUCCGUGCCAGCAGCCGCGGUAAUACGGAGGAUGCGAGCGUUAUCCGGAUUUAUUGGGUUUAAAGGGUGCGUAGGCGGGCUGUUAAGUCAGCGGUAAAAUGUCGGGGCUCAACCCCGGCCUGCCGUUGAAACUGGGGAUCUUGAGUGGGCGAGAAGUAUGCGGAAUGCGUGGUGUAGCGGUGAAAUGCAUAGAUAUCACGCAGAACUCCGAUUGCGAAGGCAGCAUGCCGGCUCCACACUGACGCUGAGGCACGAAAGCGUGGGUAUCGAACAGGAUUAGAUACCCGAGUAU